ensembl:lncRNA
UCUGUUUUCAUUGUCUGGUACCCUGGAUGAAGGGCUCUCCGUGUGGGACUGAUACAACCACCGCCUGCUUCUGGAAGUUGGUUUUACCUGGGGCUGCAGGAUGUUAGGGGAAGAUGGGUGAGAUGGAGAGUCACUGCCUGGGACACACAUCAGAAUGGAGUCAGAGAGCAAGUUGUUUUAUUCAACCAUGCACAUAUCUAGAUAAAUACCAAUCAUGAUGAUGGCCUUGCUGAAGAUUAUGGCCCUGUUAUGGCUGAUGUGUGAACACAUAUCAGCCUUACCAUCCUCCUCUAAUGCCCAAACAGAAGUAAGAGAUGGCAGAAACUCUAUGGAAAGUCCGAGACAGAAAUUUUAUUCAACACUGAUGACCAUAAAAAAUGCCUGGGAAUCUCAUUCCUUUGUUGUUCAAAAUUUGAGGAGCAUAUUAGUACAUCAUUAAUGAGAUCCAGAGACUUUUGCUCUUUCUCUAUGCCAUCUUCCACUCUCAUUUUAGAUCAUGGAGCUCUCCAGCAGUCUUGAACACACUUCAUCAGAAAGCACCAGGACAAAUCUCUUUAGUUUUUCUGUUCCUUGGGUAAAGUGGGAGAGAUAGAACAGAGACUUAGUGAAUGGAUUUUAAACCAACACUCCACAUUAAAACACAAGUUUCUAAAGCUGUGCAUAAUAAUACUAUUUCUGAUUAGUGACAACCUCAUUAGACAAAGCAGAGGUUCUUUUACUUCCAUUCUUCACUUCUUGUUUUCCUUGUAUCCCAUGCAUACAUCCUUCCUUAGAAAAGCAGAAGCCUUCUAAGACUCUCCUGUGGCAUUUUUAUCCAAAUUAUCUGGUAUGUGGGGAAGCUUCCAUCCUACCUAUUUUGGUAGAAAAUAUAGCAUCAAAGUCGCAUUUGACAAAAUUAACAUUACUAGUAGAAAUGAUGUCAUUAUCAGAUGGAACCACUACUUGAUUUUUAGACAUCGAUGGCCUCUAAACUCUCUCUAUAGUACUUCCAUAGGGUAUCUAUCACUCUGUACAGUGUAUGCAUCGCAAAACAGAGCGACUCCACUCCCGUGUGUUCAGACAGCGUGGACGCAACGUUACAAUCCCAAAACACGCUCGCAAAACCACAUGGUUCUCACUCCAGCCCCGCCUGCUCCAGGAGCGCAUCUCCGGCAUCGGUCAGCACCGGGUGAUCAGGGACGGACUGCGAAGAGUAGGCAAGCCCCAAGCAGGCUCUCUCGGUUCCCAGACAGUCCCCGCAUCAGGAAAACAAUGAACAGGAUGAAACCUGGAAGCUUUUUGCUGCUCUGUUGAAUAUGGAAUUAUUAAAAAAAAAAAAAAUACUGCACCGAGAGCAUCUCUUUCAAAUGGAUAACUUCUGAACCUGGAACUCUUCAUUACCAACUU